UUCUUCUUCUUCGUCUUCUUCUUCAUUUUUAAUUUUCACAUCUCGCAGCAAUUCAUCUUGAUCUGUGGAAGCCAUUGAAGAAGGAACUGUAUCCAAACAUUUAUCUUCGAUUGUUGACAUGUUGGGUUCAUUGGUUGCGGCUUGUUUAGCCAAGGAGGACUUAAUUCUGGUUCUGCCAGCGAGGGAAUUUCUGCGAGUAGGUUGCGCAUGGCUGUGCUCAGCAGUGUAGGUUAUGAUGAAUACUGAUGGAUCUGUACUACUUCUUUCUACUUGUUUUCUUGCCAAGCAUCCUUUUAAACUGCUACACCUAUAAUAGCUCCUUGGAUAUGGAGAUCCCUUGAUGGGUUUCUGCCCAUAUUUGCGCCAAGCCCACAUAUCAGAUGAGAGACCAUCUGACUUGACAUGUUUAACCACCCUUUUUUGCUGAUUCUUCCUCCCUUUUGAUUUGGCUGCCACGGAAGCAUCAUCACUUCUGCUUGCAGGAGUAGCAGAUUCAGAAAGAGAGUGUUUCUUCUGCAGUUUCUCUGGCUCUUCGUCCUCACAGAUGGGAAUAGACAUAGAACUUAUGACACUAAGGUUGCUAUGGGUGGAAAGUGACUGCUGGUGCAACACAGGGUACAAGGGGUCGUAAAUUUCUUCCUGUCUAUAAAAAUCAGUUGUGGAUUCAAAGAUUUCAGGGAAACUAAAAAGCUCAUCUCGUUCAAGAUUCAGAGGAGUGAACAGAGAUGGUGGGUUGUUCACGAUAUUUGCAAAAGCUUCAGUAGUGGAUCCGCUCACCACAGCUCGCAGAUCCCAGUCUUCCAUGAAAGCAAACUCACCCAUCAACCAAGAUUACAGUGUAAACACAGAAAGAAAAAGAGGUGCAGCCGCUGACUUUCUG
rnacentral:misc_RNA from 1 species